rnacentral:rRNA from 1 species
CCUGUGGCUGGGGGUGAAAGGCCAAUCAAACCGGGAGAUAGCUGGUUCUCCCCGAAAGCUAUUUAGGUAGCGCCUCGUGAAUUCAUCUCCGGGGGUAGAGCACUGUUUCGGCUAGGGGGCCAUCCCGGCUUACCAACCCGAUGCAAACUGCGAAUACCGGAGAAUGUUAUCACGGGAGACACACGGCGGGUGCUAACGUCCGUCGUGAAGAGGGAAACAACCCAGACCGCCAGCUAAGGUCCCAAAGUCAUGGUUAAGUGGGAAACGAUGUGGGAAGGCCCAGACAGCCAGGAUGUUGGCUUAGAAGCAGCCAUCAUUUAAAGAAAGCGUAAUAGCUCACUGGUCGAGUCGGCCUGCGCGGAAGAUGUAACGGGGCUAAACCAUGCACCGAAGCUGCGGCAGCGACACUCAGGUGUUGUUGGGUAGGGGAGCGUUCUGUAAGCCUGUGAAGGUGGCCUGUGAGGGUUGCUGGAGGUAUCAGAAGUGCGAAUGCUGACAUAAGUAACGAUAAAGCGGGUGAAAAGCCCGCUCGCCGGAAGACCAAGGGUUCCUGUCCAACGUUAAUCGGGGCAGGGUGAGUCGACCCCUAAGGCGAGGCCGAAAGGCGUAGUCGAUGGGAAACGGGUUAAUAUUCCCGUACUUGGUGUUACUGCGAAGGGGGGACGGAGAAGGCUAUGUUGGCCGGGCGACGGUUGUCCCGGUUUAAGCGUGUAGGCUGGUUUUCCAGGCAAAUCCGGAAAAUCAAGGCUGAGGCGUGACGACGAGGCACUACGGUGCUGAAGCAACAAAUGCCCUGCUUCCAGGAAAAGCCUCUAAGCAUCAGGUAACACGAAAUCGUACCCCAAACCGACACAGGUGGUCAGGUAGAGAAUACCAAGGCGCUUGAGAGAACUCGGGUGAAGGAACUAGGCAAAAUGGUGCCGUAACUUCGGGAGAAGGCACGCUGACAUGUAGGUGAAGUGAUUUACUCAUGGAGCUGAAGUCAGUCGAAGAUACCAGCUGGCUGCAACUGUUUAUUAAAAACACAGCACUGUGCAAACACGAAAGUGGACGUAUACGGUGUGACGCCUGCCCGGUGCCGGAAGGUUAAUUGAUGGGGUCAGCGCAAGCGAAGCUCCUGAUCGAAGCCCCGGUAAACGGCGGCCGUAACUAUAACGGUCCUAAGGUAGCGAAAUUCCUUGUCGGGUAAGUUCCGACCUGCACGAAUGGCGUAAUGAUGGCCAGGCUGUCUCCACCCGAGACUCAGUGAAAUUGAACUCGCUGUGAAGAUGCAGUGUACCCGCGGCAAGACGGAAAGACCCCGUGAACCUUUACUAUAGCUUGACACUGAACAUUGAGCCUUGAUGUGUAGGAUAGGUGGGAGGCUUUGAAGUGUGGACGCCAGUCUGCAUGGAGCCGACCUUGAAAUACCACCCUUUAAUGUUUGAUGUUCUAACGUGGACCCGUGAUCCGGGUUGCGGACAGUGUCUGGUGGGUAGUUUGACUGGGGCGGUCUCCUCCUAAAGAGUAACGGAGGAGCACGAAGGUUGGCUAAUCCUGGUCGGACAUCAGGAGGUUAGUGCAAUGGCAUAAGCCAGCUUGACUGCGAGCGUGACGGCGCGAGCAGGUGCGAAAGCAGGUCAUAGUGAUCCGGUGGUUCUGAAUGGAAGGGCCAUCGCUCAACGGAUAAAAGGUACUCCGGGGAUAACAGGCUGAUACCGCCCAAGAGUUCAUAUCGACGGCGGUGUUUGGCACCUCGAUGUCGGCUCAUCACAUCCUGGGGCUGAAGUAGGUCCCAAGGGUAUGGCUGUUCGCCAUUUAAAGUGGUACGCGAGCUGGGUUUAGAACGUCGUGAGACAGUUCGGUCCCUAUCUGCCGUGGGCGCUGGAGAACUGAGGGGGGCUGCUCCUAGUACGAGAGGACCGGAGUGGACGCAUCACUGGUGUUCGGGUUGUCAUGCCAAUGGCACUGCCCGGUAGCUAAAUGCGGAAGAGAUAAGUGCUGAAAGCAUCUAAGCACGAAACUUGCCCCGAGAUGAGUUCUCCCUGAGACUUUAGGUCUCCUGAAGGAACGUUGAAGACGACGACGUUGAUAGGCCGGGUGUGUAAGCGCAGCGAUGCGUUGAGCUAACCGGUACUAAUGAACCGUGAGGCUUAACCUUACA